rnacentral:rRNA from 1 species
CCUACGGGAGGCUGCAGUGGGGAAUAUUGCGCAAUGGGCGAAAGCCUGACGCAGCGACGCCGCGUGAGGGAUGAAGGUCUUCGGAUCGUAAACCUCUGUCAGCAGGGAAGAACGGUCACUGUGCUAAUCAGCAGUGAAUUGACGGUACCUGCAAAGGAAGCACCGGCUAACUCCGUGCCAGCAGCCGGGGUAAUACGGAGGGUGCGAGCGUUAAUCGGAAUUACUGGGCGUAAAGCGCUCGUAGGCGGUAUGUCAAGUCAAGGGGGAAAUCCCCGCGCUCAAGGUGGGAACUGCCUUUGAAACUGGCAAACUGGAGUGUGUGAGAGGAUAGUGGAAUUCCAGGUGUAGGAGUGAAAUCCGUAGAUAUCUGGAAGAACAUCAGUGGCGAAGGCGACUAUCUGGCACAUAACUGACGCUGAGGAGCGAAAGCGUGGGUAGCAAACAGGAUUAGAUACCCGUGUAGUC